rnacentral:hammerhead_ribozyme from 1 species
AUCCAGAUAAGGAGUCCAAAACAAGACGAAAUACGCAUCCUGGAU